rnacentral:rRNA from 1 species
AUAAAGCGUAUUUUACUGUGUUUGAAUACUAUAGCAUGGAAUAACAACAUUGAAUAGGUCAAAAGUUUUUGAAAAAUUUUUCUUAUUUUGGCUUAGAUACAGUUAAUAGGAGUAGCUUGGGGGCAUUUGUAUUCAGAUGUCAGAGGUGAAAUUCUUAGAUUUUCUGGAGACAAACAACUGCGAAAGCAUUUGCCUAAAAUACUUCCAUUAAUCAAGAACGAAAGUUAAGGGAGUGAAGACGAUCAGAUACCGUCGUAAUCUUAACCAUAAACUAUGCCGACUAAGUGUUGGAUGAAAAUUUAUAAAUAAAACUAUCUUCUUUAAAGGAGUAGUUUUUUAGAUGCUUCCUUCAGUACCUUAUGAGAAAUCAAAGUCUUUGGGUUCUGGGGCGAGUAUUCGCGCAAGCGAGAAAGUUAAAAGAAUUGACGGAAGGGCACCACCAGGCGUGGAGCUUGCGGCUUAAUUUGACUCAACACGGGGAAACUCACUAGUUUAAGACAAGAGUAGGAUUGACAGAUUAAUAGCUCUUUCUUGAUUUCUUGGAUGGUGAUGCAUGGCCGUUUUUAGUUCGUGAAUAUGAUUUGUCUGGUUAAUUCCGAUAACGAACGAGAUCUUAACCUGCUAAUUAGCGGUGGAUAUGUGAUAUUCUUCGAAGGUGGACUAACUAUAGCGUUUUCGAAGGUAUGUUGCAUAAUCAAAUUGGUUUACCCUUUGUUUUUUUGUAGCAUAUUCUUUUAUUUCGUUGGGUUUUUUCCCUAGUAAGGAUGUAUCUGCUUUAUUUAAUGCUUCUUAGAGGAACGAUGUGUGUCUAACACAAGGAAGUUUAAGGCAACAACAGGUCUGUGAUGUCCUUAGAUAUACUAGGCUGCACGCGUGCUACACUGAUAUGUAAAACGAGUAUUUAAAAUUAUAUCUGUAUGGUAGAUAAUUUAAUUUCUACGUAUUAUCAGCAUAUACUUUUCCUACACUGAAAUAGUGAAGGUAAUCUUUAUCAAUACAUAUCGUGAUGGGGAUAGAUUAUUGCAAUUAUUAAUCUUGAACGAGGAAUGCCUAGUAAGCAUGAUUCAUCAGAUUGUGCUGACUACGUCCCUGCCCUUUGUACACACCGCCCGUCGCUCCUACCGAUUGAAAGAUAUGAUGAAUUGUUUGGACAAGAAAAUAGAAAUUUUAUUUUUAUUUUUUUUGGAAGGACCGUAAAUCCUAUCUUUUAAAGGAAGGAGAAGUCGUAACAAGGUUUCCGUAGGUGAACCUGCGGAAGGAUCAUUU